GUCUUCAUGGCUUAGUUGGUUAAAGCGUCGGUCUCAUAAACAUGACCUGCUCUCAGAGGGGGACAUCCGAAGGUCGCGAGUUCGACUCUCGCUGAGGACA